AAAGAUCAGAAACAACAGAAACAGAAAACAAUUAAGAUUACACUUUAAAUAAAUUAACCUUGCAUUAAUUAUAUUAUGGAUGAUGAGCAUACCUUACACAAGCCCAAAGCAUGAUGACAGUAGUACUAAAAACCCUACAGUAGCACAGGCAGUUCUUCCAGGAAACGUAACCAAAAGAGUAGAGUUUGAUAAGAACACAAACAGUACAUACACAGUAGCGUUGAUAGCUCGAUCGAUCGAAUCGGAUCCAUCAUUCCAUCAUGAUGAGACGCAUCGAUCCAUCUUAACGAACUAAGGUAAUUAACCCUCUCCGGAUUUGAUUAAGCCCUACCUUGAUUUUGCUAUAAGCUGCUUUUGCUAGUUAAACACGGACAGUGGCAGCAUGCACCCGGCCGCGUGCGCCUCCGCCACCGCCGCCAUGGCCACGGCCAUCUCGUCGUUGCUGCCCCCGCCGCCGCCGCUGACGCCGCCCGUGCUGGAGUGG
rnacentral:lncRNA from 1 species